GACGAACGCUGGCGGCGUGCUUAACACAUGCAAGUCGAACGAAAAGAGGGGAAGAGCUUGCUCUUUCCGGAAUUGAGUGGCAAACGGGUGAGUAACACGUAAACAACCUGCCUUCAGGAUGGGGACAACAGACGGAAACGACUGCUAAUACCGAAUAAGUUCCAAGGACCGCAUGGCCCAUGGAAGAAAAGGUGGCCUCUACCUGUAAGCUAUCGCCUGAAGAGGGGUUUGCGUCUGAUUAGCUGGUUGGAGGGGUAACGGCCCACCAAGGCGACGAUCAGUAGCCGGUCUGAGAGGAUGAACGGCCACACUGGAACUGAGACACGGUCCAGACUCCUACGGGAGGCAGCAGUGGGGAAUCUUCCGCAAUGGGCGAAAGCCUGACGGAGCAACGCCGCGUGAGUGAUGACGGCCUUCGGGUUGUAAAACUCUGUGAUCCGGGACGAAAAGGCAGAGUGCGAAGAACAAACUGCAUUGACGUACCGGAAAGC
rnacentral:rRNA from 1 species